rnacentral:rRNA from 1 species
UACGGAGGGUGCAAGCGUUAAUCGGAAUUACUGGGCGUAAAGCGUACGUAGGCGGCUUGUUAAGCAAGAUGUGAAAUCCCCGGGCUCAACCUGGGAAUGGCAUUUUGAACUGGCAGGCUCGAGUUCUGAAGAGGGUGGUAGAAUUUCCAGUGUAGCGGUGAAAUGCGUAGAUAUAUGGAGGAACACCGGUGGCGAAAGCGGCCCUCUGGGCCUGUACUGACACUGAGGCGCGAAAGCGUGGGGAGCAAACAGG